GACGUUAGCUGCAGAAGAAGCACCGGCUAACUCCGUGCCAGCAGCCGCGGUAAUACGGGAGGGUGCGAGCGUUAAUCGGAAUUACUGGGCGUAAAAGCGCAUGCAGGUGGUUGUUAAGUCAGAUGUGAAAGACCCGGGGCGUCAACCUCGGAAUUGCAUUUGAAACUGGCAGACUAGAGUACUGUAGAGGGGGUAGAAUUUCAGGUGUAGCGGUGAAAUGCGUAGAGAUCUGAAGGAAUACCGGUGGCGAAGGCGGCCCCCUCGGACAGAAUACUGACACUCAGAUGCGAAAGCGUGGGGAGCAAACAGGAUUAGAUACCCUGGUAG
rnacentral:rRNA from 1 species